UCUAACGAUUGAUCUAGUUACUUAGAAAGAUGAAGCUUAUGAUAAUUAAAUUAAAUAUUUAUAUUUAAUUUGAAUGGAAAAAUAAGAAUGAAGAAUAUAAAGUCUGGUCAAUCAAUUAAUAAUGAUAAUUGAUAUGAUUAUGUCCCAACCAAGAGUAGUGCCAGCAGUUGCGGUUAGACUACGGGGGCUUACGUUAACCAAUAGUUGGCUUAAAGCAUCCGCAGGUGAUAUUGAAAAAAUAUUAGAGUUAUUUUGGAAAAUAUUGAAGAAUUAUGGGAAGAUAUAAAAAGUAAUGAUGAUAAUUCGACAUUUAAUUAUUGAAAAUUAUAUUUCUAAAAUAACUGACACUCAGGGAUUAAGACGUGAGUAGCAAAUCGGAUUAGAUACCCGACUAGUUCACGUUGUAAACUAUGAAUGCUAUUGAUUAUAUUAUGAUUUUUUUUCAAUCUUUUAACAAUAUAAGUGAAAACUUAAGUAUUCCGCCAGGUGAGNAUAUUC
rnacentral:rRNA from 1 species